UACGGAGGGGGCAAGCGUUGUUCGGAAUUACUGGGCGUAAAGGGCGCGCAGGCGGCUGCUCAAGUCAGGCGUGAAAGGCCUGGGCUCAACCCGGGAAUUGCGCUUGAGACUGGGCUGGCUUGAGUGCGGGAGAGGAUGGUGGAAUUCCCAGUGUAGAGGUGAAAUUCGUAGAUAUUGGGAAGAACACCGGUGGCGAAGGCGACCAUCUGGACCGCAACUGACGCUGAGGCGCGAAAUCGUCGGGAGCAAACAGG
rnacentral:rRNA from 1 species